rnacentral:rRNA from 1 species
GUAGGUGGCAAGCGUUGUCCGGAAUUAUUGGGCGUAAAACGCGCGCAGGCGGUUCUUUAAGUCUGAUGUGAAAGCCCACGGCUCAACCGUGGAGGGUCAUUGGAAACUGGAGAACUUGAGUACAGAAGAGGAAAGCGGAAUUCCACGUGUAGCGGUGAAAUGCGUAGAGAUGUGGAGGAACACCAGUGGCGAAGGCGGCUUUCUGGUCUGUAACUGACGCUGAGGCGCGAAAGCGUGGGGAGCAAACAGGGAUUAGAUACCCUGGUAGUCCACGCCGUAAACGAUGAGUGCUAAGUGUUAGGGGGGUUUCCGCCCCCUUAGUGCUGCAGCUAACGCAUUAAGCACUCCGCCUGGGGAUACGGCCGCAAGGCUG